rnacentral:rRNA from 1 species
AGUGAACGCUGGCGGUAGGCCUAACACAUGCAAGUCGAACGGCAGCACAGUAAGAGCUUGCUCUUACGGGUGGCGAGUGGCGGACGGGUGAGGAAUACAUCGGAAUCUACUUUUUCGUGGGGGAUAACGUAGGGAAACUUACGCUAAUACCGCAUACGACCUACGGGUGAAAGCAUGGGAUCUUCGGACCUUGCGCGAUUGAAUGAGCCGAUGUCGGAUUAGCUAGUUGGCGGGGUAAAGGCCCACCAAGGCGACGAUCCGUAGCUGGUCUGAGAGGAUGAUCAGCCACACUGGAACUGAGACACGGUCCAGACUCCUACGGGAGGCAGCAGUGGGGAAUAUUGGACAAUGGGCGCAAGCCUGAUCCAGCCAUACCGCGUGGGUGAAGAAGGCCUUCGGGUUGUAAAGCCCUUUUGUUGGGAAAGAAAAGCAGCAGGUGAAUACCCCGCUGUUCUGACGGUACCCAAAGAAUAAGCACCGGCUAACUUCGUG